GCACAAGCGGCGGAGCAUGCGGAUUAAUUCGAUGCAACGCGAAGAACCUUACCUGGGUUUGACAUAUGCCGGUAGCAGCCAGAGAUGGUUGUGCCUUUUGGGCCGGUUUACAGGUGGUGCAUGGCUGUCGUCAGCUCGUGUCGUGAGAUGUUGGGUUAAGUCCCGCAACGAGCGCAACCCUUGUCCUAUGUUGCCAGCGGUUCGGCCGGGAACUCAUAGGAGACUGCCGGGGUCAACUCGGAGGAAGGUGGGGAUGACGUCAAGUCAUCAUGCCCCUUAUGUCCAGGGCUUCACGCAUGCUACAAUGGCUGGUACAGAGGGUUGCGAUGCCNNNAGGUGGAGCGAAUCCCUUAAAGCCAGUCUCAGUUCGGAUUGGGGUCUGCAACUCGACCCCAUGAAGUCGGAGUCGCUAGUAAUCGCAGAUCAGCAUUGCUGCGGUGAAUACGUUCCCGGGCCUUGUACACACCGCCCGUCAAGUCAUGAAAGUCGGUAACACCCGAAGCCGGUGGNNNAACCUUUUUGGGGGGAGCUGUCUAAGGUGGGAUCGGUGAUUAGGACUAAGUCGUAACAAGGUAGCC
rnacentral:rRNA from 1 species